UAUGCAUCAGGAGGGAAUUUUUAUUAGCUCUAUUUAAGUUUUUGAUAAGAACUUCAUCAUUUUAGCAGUUUCAGAACAGUAUCUACUUGAGCUGACCAUAACUUCAAGAUUUAUGUGUGAAUGUGAUUCAGAACAAUAACAUCUUAUAAUGGAUCCUUUAAGAAAUAAUUAUAAUAAAUUCAUAAGUUUUUAAUGACACAGUGAUAUUAUAGCUUUAACACAAUAGCAAACUGCUGCAGCAGCUGAUAUAUGAACUGAAUAUUUCAAACUUUGAUUGAAUAGGAAUAACAAAAGAAUUUUUAUUUUACCACGAGAAAUGAAAGUA
rnacentral:lncRNA from 1 species